rnacentral:tRNA from 1 species
GGUGGCUCAGUAGUAUAGAGUGCUUGCCUUGCAUGCAUGAGGCCCUGGGUUCGAUUCCUCAGUACCA